UACGGAGGGGGCUAGCGUUGUUCGGAAUCACUGGGCGUAAAGCGCGCGUAGGCGGACCACUCAGUCGGGGGUGAAAUCCCGGGGCUCAACCCCGGAACGGCCUUCGAUACUGGCGGUCUGGAGGUCGAGAGAGGCGAGUGGAAUUCCGAGUGUAGAGGUGAAAUUCGUAGAUAUUCGGAGGAACACCAGUGGCGAAGGCGGCUCGCUGGCUCGAUACUGACGCUGAGGCGCGAAAGCGUGGGGAGCAAACAGG
rnacentral:rRNA from 1 species